GACGAACGCUGGCGGCGUGCUUAACACAUGCAAGUCGAACGGAAAGGCCCUGCUUUUGUGGGGUGCUCGAGUGGCGAACGGGUGAGUAACACGUGAGUAACCUGCCCUUGACUUUGGGAUAACUUCAGGAAACUGGGGCUCAUACCGGAUAGGAGCUCCUGCUGCAUGGUGGGGGUUGGAAAGUUUCGGCGGUUGGGGAUGGACUCGCGGCUUAUCAGCCUGUUGGUGGGGUAGUGGCUUACCAAGGCUUUGACGGGUAGCCGGCCUGAGAGGGUGACCGGCCACAUUGGGACUGAGAUACGGCCCAGACUCCUACGGGAGGCAGCAGUGGGGAAUAUUGCACAAUGGGCGGAAGCCUGAUGCAGCAACGCCGCGUGCGGGAUGACGGCCUUCGGGUUGUAAACCGCUUUCGCCUGUGACGAAGCGUGAGUGACGGUAAUGGGUAAAGAAGCACCGGCUAACUACGUG
rnacentral:rRNA from 1 species